UCUGAAUUCCAGGGGAAAAAAAUAACGUUAGCUCUUAUGUAACCGCUGCCUGCGAGCUGGCGGGAGCCCAAGAAUCGUGCAGGACGAAGGCAGGCUACAUGGAAACUGGGACAGAGCUACACGGCCAGCAGAAAUGUCUAUAGUUCCCCCUGUUGGAGGGGAUCAGAGAAACAACUAGGGUCCCCUCGCCUCACACACACUGCAGAAGCUCUGGGAAUAGCUGAGGACAAGCAGGGACAUACUGAGGCAGAGGACACCAGCACUGACUGAUGCAGAAUAGCCGUGAAGGGAGAGAAGAGGGAGAGACAGAGAGAAACAGAUUGGUAUAGAGAGAGAAAUAGAGAGGGGGACAGAAAGAGCGACAUUGCCAGGGAUAAUGAGACGAUAGCGAUCAGGCGGCAUGGACACACACAGCAAGGAAAGGGAGCGAAAGAGUCACACGGCACACACACAGACACACAGGAUCAGACCUACAGUCCCCAGUGCUUCACAGAUGACUAGGGGGAGUACUGUACUAUAUGUCAGGCCUGUAGCGGGAUACGCCACAGAGGAGGUGCAAUGUCGGGCAGAGCAGAAAUGCGGGCUGAACACAGGGCUAAUUUAAAAGCUAACUGACAGACAGCCCAGUGCUGCUGCUGCCAUUUCUGCCGCGGAGGGGAAGUGUGGGCUUUGGAUCAGCAUGGAGCCUGGGACACUGCAUCCCAUAGGGGGGCCCUCCUGGGUCCAUGCACGUGCCGGAUGUGUGGGUGGGGUGUACACAUUCUUCAGACACUACGAAUGGGAAGGGUCCGUUCAGGCAACAAAGAAGUAGCCGGGGAUUUCCAUCACUGGAUAACACUGGGGGGAGGAAUGGAGGGAGGAAAAAGAGAGAGAAGACACUCAUAGUUCCCAGUUGUUUUGAAAGCACCAUAAAUCCAGAGAAUGCCAGACUUUGGAUGACAAAAUUUGCCCACGAAGGACCGUCCUGCCCCCUUCCUGUUCAAGUGAGCACAGCACAACAAGAUUUACAUGCUAAAAUCGCCACUGGAAAGCAGACCCUGGAUUCCACCCCAGAAAAUAAUAUUCUUUGGCAUAUUCCUUCCAUAUAUACACUGUAUAAUGACUUCAUCCACAGUAAUAUGGUGUUAUACUGCCAUCUAUAUGUGAGCUCUAGUACCAUAUACAAAUCAUCUAAAUAUAUGGUGUGCUUACAUGCUGUGGUGCUCUACCACAACUACCACAACUGCCAAUGUUACAAAAAUAAACUCCUUUUAGAAUAUACAGAAAUAGCUUCAAAUGAUAGAUGGUAAUAGAUAAUGUUGAAUAAAGGAAAAACCUGCACUCACUGAACUAUUCUUUACUUUAAAAAAUGUUUGCAGCAGAGGUCAGAACAAACGGACAGGUUUUGGCCUCAGCUUUCGACCCCAUAUAGUGAAUUGUUUUCAUAAUAACCACUCAAACACACUACACACAAACAGUAGCCUGAAUUGGGGGACACUAAUUUAGCUAGGUUAGUUCUCUUCAAGAGGGUGAGUUGAUUAUUAAAACAUGGUUAAAGAGUCCCUCAACUCAUCAGUGAAGUAUUUGAGAGGAUGAAACACAAGGACAGGCACAGUACCUGGAAGUUAAAGGGAACAAAAUCCACCACCUGGAGAGGAAACAAGAUCCACCACAGAUCAGCAGCAGUAGGUAGGGCAAGACAGCAAACACAACAUAGACAUGAAACACAGAUAUAGAGCUGUCUCUGGUUGACUUACUGAGGAUCGGGGCUCAGGACAUUCUUCCACAUAGUCAGGAUUCACCUGAAAAUAAACCAAGAAACAGAAUAGGAUACUUAACUCCAACAUGUGAGGAAGCAAGAAGUCCUCUUAUAAAUUACUAUAAAGUCAAUCCAACUUAAACUUAAUCAAGCCCUGUCGUUAAGACUUUCAGAUCGCAUAAUGAAGUACUGCAAGAUGAUUGUGUGCAUUAUACUCCCAGGUAUAAAUCAAAUGCAAGUGGUUGGCUGGUAGACUACCAUGUAAUAUGUCUACUGUCACUGUAAGGGGACUCACCUCAGCAGCCAAGUAAGACCCUGUGGCAAGGUGUUUGAACCUAAACAGGCUGUUCCAGUAGCCAGCCCCGCCCCGACACGGGUCAUGGUGGACCACCUGACAGAAGAAUGCAACACCUGACAGCAUGAGGACAACGUCUGGACU